rnacentral:rRNA from 1 species
UACGGGGGGGGGCAAGCGUUGUUCGGAAUUACUGGGCGUAAAGGGCUCGUAGGCGGCCAACUAAGUCAGACGUGAAAUCCCUCGGCUUAACCGGGGAACUGCAUCUGAUACUGGAUGGCUUGAGUUCGGGAGAGGGAUGCGGAAUUCCAGGUGUAGCGGUGAAAUGCGUAGAUAUCUGGAGGAACACCGGUGGCGAAGGCGGCUCACUGGCCCGAUACUGACGCUGAGGCACGAAAGCGUGGGGGGCAAACAGG